AACGAACGCUGGCGGCAGGCUUAACACAUGCAAGUCGAACGCCCCGCAAGGGGAGUGGCUGACGGGUGAGUAACGCGUGGGAACGUACCUUUCGCUUCGGAAUAUUCCCGGGAAACUGGGAGCAAUGCCGAAUACGCCGUAUUGGGAAAGAUUUAUCGGCGAAAGAUCGGCCCGCGUUAGAUUAGGUAGUUGGCGGUGUAAUGGACCACCAAGCCUACGAUCUAUAGCUGGUCUGAGAGGAUGAUCAGCCACACUGGGACUGGGACACGGCCCAGACUCCUACGGGAGGCAGCAGUGGGGAAUCUUGGACAAUGGGCGCAAGCCUGAUCCAGCCAUGCCGCGUGAGUGAAGAAGGCCUUAGGGUUGUAAAACUCUUUCGCCGGAGAAGAUAAUGACGGUAUCCGGAGAAGAAGCCCCGGCUAACUUCGUGCCAGCCGCCGCAGUAAUAC
rnacentral:rRNA from 1 species